rnacentral:tRNA from 1 species
GUGGUUGUAGUUCAGUCGGUUAGAACGCCUGAUUGUGGUUCAGGAGGUCGUGGGUUCGAAUCCCAUCAUCCACC